rnacentral:rRNA from 1 species
GACGUAGGGCGCGAGCGUUGUCCGGAUUUAUUGGGCGUAAAGAGCUCGUAGGCGGCUUGUCGCGUCGACUGUGAAAUCCCGCGGCUCAACUGCGGGUCUGCAGUCGAUACGGGCAGGCUAGAGUUCGGUAGGGGAGACUGGAAUUCCUGGUGUAGCGGUGAAAUGCGCAGAUAUCAGGAGGAACACCGGUGGCGAAGGCAGCUCGCUGGGACGGUACUGACGCUGAGACGCGAAAGCGUGGGGAGCAAACAGG